rnacentral:rRNA from 1 species
GACGAACGCUGGCGGCGUGCCUAAUACAUGCGAGUAGAACGCUGAAGGAGGAGCUUGCUUCUCUGGAUGAGUUGCGAACGGGUGAGUAACGCGUAGGUAACCUGCCUGGUAGCGGGGGAUAACUAUUGGAAACGAUAGCUAAUACCGCAUAACAGUAGAUAUCGCAUGAUAUCUACUUGAAAGGUGCAAUUGCAUCACUACCAGAUGGACCUGCGUUGUAUUAGCUAGUUGGUGAGGUAACGGCUCACCAAGGCGACGAUACAUAGCCGACCUGAGAGGGGGAUCGGCCACACUGGGACUGAGACACGGCCCAGACUCCUACGGGAGGCAGCAGUAGGGAAUCUUCGGCAAUGGACGGAAGUCUGACCGAGCAACGCCGCGUGAGUGAAGAAGGUUUUCGGAUCGUAAAGCUCUGUUGUAAGAGAAGAACGAGUGUGAGAGUGGAAAGUUCACACUGUGACGGUAUCUUACCAGAAAGGGACGGCUAACUACGUG